CCAAAGCACACGCGUUUUAAAUCAAAUCGAAUUUUGCAAAGAAGUGCUAAGUCCACGUGUGUAUAUAUAUAUGCACCACCUCGGGCUUAAUAACCGCCCAACAAACAAACCGACUAAUAAGUGAAGCACCACAAAGCUAAUUUCAAACGCCCAAAGUGGCUGGCGAAAUUUAGAUGGCACCGAUCGCAACAUCCAACUUAUAGUUGAAAAACUAAUUAGGAGUGCGCAGCGCUAUUUGAUCAAAUCGCCUGGUGCUCGUUUUGGCCCACUCUGGCUGCCAACACGUGGAGCGGGACCACUCGAGCCGAGCCACAUACAGUCUACCAGUGCAAAUUUAAGUUGCGAGCCAAGCUUUCCAACCGUUGUAAGACGUAAGGAAAACUUAAGUUCCCAGAUUGAUACACGUGUUGUUCGCCAUAUUCUCCUGACCAGUUGCGAGUAACCUAACCCCGGACUGAUGGUUAGCCAUCGACACGUCCAACACGAGCGUAUAGCGGAUAAGCAGGCACCCUGGACUCUUGUUCUAGCUGUUGAAUCUGCCGCCUCGCAGCUAAGGGUUCACCCCCGAUCUCGGCAGCCGAUCUGACUGUUGCAUCGCUUUUGUAGUUGUUAGAAUAGAUUUAAAUUUUAUAGAAAUUAAGCUUAUUAUACGGGUACAGUAUGUAUAUUUGGCCUUAGAUUGACUGUUAACUAAUAGUAUUUUGUAGUUCACUCAGCAUACACACAUCCUCGUUUACACACACCGUCCACAGGCCUGCACUGGAAACAGAUUUAAAGUAUUAAUGUUGUAAGUACGGCAUAGCCGACCAUCUGUUAACAUCAAUCUGAGCCAAGUAAUAUAACUAUAGAAUAACUAUAAAUUCAAGUUUUUUUCUUUUUCUUUUCAAAACUUAAUUGUUAACGUAAAUUUUUGAAUGAAGAACCUAAAUGAAGUCAUUUGUACCCAUUAUAUGGUUAAUCUGCCAUGGGCAAGCUAACGUUAAGCGAUUCAUAAGCAUCUGCCAUGGGCAAGCUAAUGUUAAGAAAAUCAUAAGCCGCUGCCAUGGGCAACUUAUCUUUAAUUGGAUUUUGGUACGUAUUUGAGAAUGAAGUAUA